UUGGUGGUGCUGGACGUUAUUGUCCUAUUCGACGUAACGCAGAACCAGUUAACCACUUUGAAAUUCUACCAGAAAUACAAUUCAGGGAACGAUACCGUUUGUCAAAAAGAGCAUUCCUACACGUGCUCCGGAGAAUAGAGCAUGGUCUGAGAAGACCUCUUCGAAGAAAUCACAGGAUCACUUCGAGUAUUCAGUUAUUAGUGGCUCUACGUUUUUUUGCUACUGGUUCAUAUUUGAUUACUGUGGGAGACACAAUGAACAUAACAGCCUUGAGCCCUGACUACAUCAGAUUCCCAUCAACUCCAGAAGCACAAAGGCAAGCUCAGGCUGAGCUGUUUGCCAGAUCUGCAUUCCCCAGUGCAGUAUGCU